rnacentral:rRNA from 1 species
CCUACGGGUGGCAGCAGUGAGGAAUAUUGGUCAAUGGCCGGAAGGCUGAACCAGCCAAGCAGCGUGCAGGACGAAGGUGCCAAGCGUUGUAAACUUCUUUUGUCAAGGGACAAAAUCAGGCUCGAGAGCCUGACCGCGGGUACUUGAAGAAAAAGCAUCGGCUAACUCCGUGCCAGCAGCCGCGGUAAUACGGAGGAUGCGAGCGUUAUCCGGAUUUAUUGGGUUUAAAGGGUGCGUAGGCGGCCUGUUAAGUCAGCGGUAAAAGCCCGGGGCUCAACCCCGGCGAGCCGUUGAAACUGGCUGUCUUGAGAUGUCGAGAGGUAGGCGGAAUGCGCAGUGUAGCGGUGAAAUGCUUAGAUAUUGCGCAGAACUCCGAUUGCGAAGGCAGCAUACCGUCGGCAAUCUGACGCUGAGGCACGAAAGCGCGGGUAUCGAACAGGAUUAGAUACCCCGGUAGUC